AUUCAACAGACAAUAGGGUAGGCAUUUGAAUUCCAAAUUUUUCAAUCUAUAUGUCAAAAGAAAGGUCUACAAGUCUAGUUUCGAACGAAGUCAGUUUGGUACAAAUCAAAAUUUCCAACAGGGACUUAUAGGUAUUUUAGUAUCGAAAGGUCAGAAAUUUUGAUCCCUGUUCUGCAGCAUCUAUAGGCUCAUUUGAAACAGACGUUUGGGUAAGUAUUCGAUGUCCAAAAUCUACAAAAUCAGUGUCAAAAGAAAGAUAUAAGAGUCUAAUUUCAAACGAGCUAGGUCCUGCCUGAAUCCAUAUUUGGUGCUAAAAAUUAUAG
rnacentral:lncRNA from 1 species